GCCUGGCUGGCUUAGUCGGUUGAGUGUCCGACUUCAGCUCAGGUCAUGAUCUCACAGUUUGUGGGUUCAAGCCCACAUCAGGCU
rnacentral:tRNA from 1 species